UACAGAGGUCCCAAGCGUUGUUCGGAUUCACUGGGCGUAAAGGGUGCGUAGGCGGCCGGGUAAGUCUGAUGUGAAAUCUCACAGCUUAACUGUGAAACUGCAUUGGAUACUAUCCGGCUAGAGGAAUGGAGGGGAGACUGGAAUACUUGGUGUAGCAGUGAAAUGCGUAGAUAUCUGGAGGAAUACCGGUGGCGAAGGCGGCAUCCUGGACCGAGAUUGACGCUGAUGAGCGAAAGCCAGGGGAGCAAACGGG
rnacentral:rRNA from 1 species